rnacentral:tRNA from 1 species
GCCGCUGUGGUGGAAUAGGCAGACGCAAGGGACUUAAAAUCCCUCGGAGUAACAUCCGUGCCGGUUCAAGUCCGGCCAGCGGCACCA